UCAGAUUCCAGGUGCAAUAAUUCAACCACUUAUUUACUCAAGUUUUAUUUAUGUUGUCGUAGGUUUUAAUGAAAAUUAUGAGAACUUCUUAUUAUUUAUUACUCCGAUCAUAUUAAGUGCCUUUUCUGCAUCAGCUAUUGGUUAUUUAAUGUCAGCGGUUUUCGAAUCUGUUAAUGCGGCAUCAUUACUAUCUGUACCAAUAGAUUUUGUAACUCUAAUAUUCAGUGGUAUAUUUUUGCAAAUUGGGUAAGUUUGACAAAUGCUGAUUUAAAAUUUUAAUGUGACUUACAUCUACUGAAGUACCUGGCUACAAUUUUGCCAUCUUGUACUGAAAGUUAGAACCUUUCUUUGAGUAUCCGCAAUCAGUGGUAGAGCGAUUGUCGAUAAUUAAUCUAACUCGUGUAAUAGAAGUUGGUGGACUGCUCAAUAGUUUUGUAUUUAGAACAAUACUUUAAAAUAAAAAUGUUUCUACGCUUCUAUGGUUA